AGAGUUUGAUCCUGGCUCAGGGAUGUAACGCUGGCGGCGUGCCUAAUACAUGCAAGUCGAGCGAACUGAUUAGAAGCUUGCUUCUAUGACGUUAGCGGCGGACGGGUGAGUAACACGUGGGCAACCUGCCUGUAAGACUGGGAUAACUUCGGGAAACCGAAGCUAAUACCGGAUAGGAUCUUCUCCUUCAUGGGAGAUGAUUGAAAGAUGGUUUCGGCUAUCACUUACAGGUGGGCCCGCGGUGCAUUAGCUAGUUGGUGAGGUAACGGCUCACCAAGGCAACGAUGCAUAGCCGACCUGAGAGGGUGAUCGGCCACACUGGGUACUGAGACACGGCCCAAACUCCUACGGGAGGCAGCAGUAGGGAAUCUUCCGCAAUGGACGAAAGUCUGACGGAGCAACGCCGCGUGAGUGAUGAAGGCUUUCGGGUCGUAAAACUCUGUUGUUAGGGAAGAACAAGUACGAGAGUAACUGCUCGUACCUUGACGGUACCUAACCAGAAAGCCACGGCUAACUACAUGCCAGCCAGCCCGCGGUAAAUAACNUANGUGGCAAGCGUUAUCCNGNAUUUAUUGAGCGUAAAGCGCGCNCAAGCGNUUUCNUAAAUCUGANGUGAAAACCCNCUAGCUCAAACCGAUGG
rnacentral:rRNA from 1 species